AGGUGCUCAGGGAUGCUCUGGAGCCCAGCCUGGUCCCGCUGCUGUCCUCAGAGGUAUCCCUGGAGACCCCUGAGGAGGAGCCCAGGCCCAGGCUGCUGCCCCCCGAGGAGCGAAGGCUGCUGCCCCUCCCUGCCCCCCCAGCCCUGCCUGAGCUCCCUGAGGGGCCUGAGCCUGAACUGCCCCCUGGGGCCCCCCCGGACCUGGAGGCCUGGAGCAGGGAGCUGCUGGAGGCCUCCCAGCAGCCAGGGGGAGCUGCGUUGGAGUCUUUGCUGCCCCCUGGCUGUCAUCGGGGCCUGGUGGGGAGAAUCUUCUGCCUCUGCCUGGCCCUCUGCGCGCAGAGAAGGCUCCGAUUGGUCCAGUCCAAGCCCUUUGGGCCAAUCCUGCUGCUGGCUCCGCCCUUGCUGCUGUGAUGUCAUCAAUCCAAGAUGGCCGCCGGCAAUGACAUCAGCAAACCACCGACAGGGGUGGGGGAGGGGGAAAGGCUCAAGGUGAUGAUGUCAUUAAAAUACAAGAUGGCCGCCAGGGGUGACGUCAUCAAAAGUUGA